rnacentral:rRNA from 1 species
UGACCGCUGGCGGCGUGCCUAAUACAUGCAAGUCGAGCGAACAGAUGAGGAGCUUGCUCCUCUGACGUUAGCGGCGGACGGGUGAGUAACACGUGGAUAACCUACCUAUAAGACUGGGAUAACUUCGGGAAACCGGAGCUAAUACCGGAUAAUAUAUUGAACCGCAUGGUUCAAUAGUGAAAGACGGUUUUGCUGUCACUUAUAGAUGGAUCCGCGCCGCAUUAGCUAGUUGGUAAGGUAACGGCUUACCAAGGCGACGAUGCGUAGCCGACCUGAGAGGGUGAUCGGCCACACUGGAACUGAGACACGGUCCAGACUCCUACGGGAGGCAGCAGUAGGGAAUCUUCCGCAAUGGGCGAAAGCCUGACGGAGCAACGCCGCGUGAGUGAUGAAGGUCUUCGGAUCGUAAAACUCUGUUAUUAGGGAAGAACAAAUGUGUAAGUAACUAUGCACGUCUUGACGGUACCUAAUCAGAAAGCCACGGCUAACUACGUG